rnacentral:lncRNA from 1 species
GAGGUUAUGUACCUUGUUUUUCGGCGCUGGUGAUGAACAGGACUGUGAGCAGCAGCAGAAGGAGAUAGAGUGGAUGGAAGAAUCUCAUGGUGAUGCUGCGUGAGGUUUGGUCCGCUGCGCAGACCCGAGUGUCCUCAGAUGUCUCCGGUAUCUCCGAAAGCAAAGUCUGUGAAUAUGCAGAGGGAUGGAUAGAUAGACAGAUGACCUGAUGAGUGUGAAUGUCCAGUCGAGACAAUGUAGCUUCACCCCCUCUUUAUACAGACAAGAGAAAGGGGGAGGAGAGGGCACAACAGAAGGAGUGGUGUAUUCGACAUCAACUGCGGCCAGACUUGACAAGAUUGCAGUGGGGCAGCAGUCAAAUUCUAUCGCCUUGAAAAAAACCUGAGAGAUGUUUUGUUUUUAAGAGACUCUUGACGGCAAUCAAUGUAACAAAUCAAUUGAAAUAAGCAGAC